AGUGAACGCUGGCGGUAGGCCUAACACAUGCAAGUCGAACGGCAGCACAGUAAGAGCUUGCUCUUACGGGUGGCGAGUGGCGGACGGGUGCGGAAUACAUCGGAAUCUACUUUUUCGUGGGGGAUAACGUAGGGAAACUUACGCUAAUACCGCAUACGACCUACGGGUGAAAGCAGGGGAUCUUCGGACCUUGCGCGAUUGAAUGAGCCGAUGUCGGAUUAGCUAGUUGGCGGGGUAAAGGCCCACCAAGGCGACGAUCCGUAGCUGGUCUGAGAGGAUGAUCAGCCACACUGGAACUGAGACACGGUCCAGACUCCUACGGGAGGCAGCAGUGGGGAAUAUUGGACAAUGGGCGCAAGCCUGAUCCAGCCAUACCGCGUGGGUGAAGAAGGCCUUCGGGUUGUAAAGCCCUUUUGUUGGGAAAGAAAAGCAGCAGGUUAAUACCCCGCUGUUCUGACGGUACCCAAAGAAUAAGCGCCGGCUAACUUCGUG
rnacentral:rRNA from 1 species